rnacentral:snRNA from 1 species
GGAUAUGAGGGCGAUCUGUCUGCGACAUCUGUCACCCUACUGAUCACCAGGGCUGAUUCGGCUUAUCUGGCUAGCUAGGAGGGUGUCUCCUUCCUCCCUCAAUGCUCCAUAUGUGUCCCUCCUAAAGCUGCGCGCUUGGUCAAAGAGGACGACCAUCCCCAAUAAAGGAGGACCGUUCCUCAGUUGAGGGUAUACUAGUAGCUGAGCUCCACUGCUAGAACCUCCAAACACGCUCUCAAGAUCUUAUUUAACUUUCAUCAAGGGUUAUAGAGACUUCCCAGGGGAAAGGGCAAUUCUAGGAAAAAUAAGCUAAAGUCCACUCUGGUUGGUUCCUUCCCAGU